rnacentral:rRNA from 1 species
CGGACCGGCGCACGGGUGAGUAACGCGUAUGCAACUUACCUAUCGGAGGGGGACAACCCGGCGAAAGUCGGACUAAUACCGCAUGAAGCAGGGGCCCCGCAUGGGGAUAUUUGCUAAAGAUUCAUCGCUGAUAGAUAGGCAUGCGUUCCAUUAGGCAGUUGGCGGGGUAACGGCCCACCAAACCGACGAUGGAUAGGGGUUCUGAGAGGAAGGUCCCCCACAUUGGUACUGAGACACGGACCAA